GGACGGGUAGCUCAGUUGGUAGAGCACAGGAUUGAAAAUCCUGGUGUCACGGGUUCGAUUCCCGUCCUGUCCAC
rnacentral:tRNA from 1 species